rnacentral:lncRNA from 1 species
GAAUUUUUUGUUUUUUUUUUUUUGGGGGGGGGGGGGGGGGGGGGGGGGGGGGGGGGGGGGACAUCGGAAAAAGAAGUUUUUGAUUUUUCACGAAGCUUUUUUUUUUUUUNNNNNNNNNNNNNNNNNNNNNNNNNNNNNNNNNNNNNNNNNNNNNNNNNNNNNNNNNNNNNNNNNNNNNNNNNNNNNNNNNNNNNNNNNNNNNNNNNNNNGGGGGGGGGGGGGGGCGGAUAUUCGUAAUUAAAAUAUUUGAACUUUACAAAUAAUUUUUUUAUUUUUCAAUCAUAAAUUUAAUUUAUAACAUGUAUAUCUCAAAUCUUACCAUGAGAUUAACAUAACCCAUGUGAAAAGGAUCAAAAGAAGGGAGGUGGAUAUCCACUACUUAUUAUAUCUUAUAUUUGGUUAAACAUAAGAUAGAAUAGGUAAUAGGAUAACUUAUCAUUUCCCAUCACCAACCAAAUAUGGAAUGAGAUAUAAUAUCGUCUCUCUUAUCUUAUCCCAUGUUAUAUCCAAUUAAUCAAAUAUAACUAAAUGACAUGAAAAUUGUAUAAAAUGAAUUUAUAUUGUAUGAAUACGAUUGUAUCAUUUACCAUGUACUCUAUUUGUUUUUUUUCCUUGCUUUUAAUUCUUUAGUGGUUUCUUCAAAAUAUUUUUUAAAAGAAUGAUAAAAAUAAAUAAACUAUACCCGUAAAAUUUUGAUUUAAAAAGCUUAUUUCAAUAUCUAACUUCAAAUUAUUUUUCAAAAUAAAAUUUUAAAUUAAAAUAUUAAAAUUAUUAUUUUUAAAUGAUUUCAACAUGAUUUUUUUUAUUUCAAAUAAUAACAAUAUAUUGUAUGAAAAUCUAAAAUAUAUGCAAGAACUCUUAAAAAAAUUAUUAGUCCUCCCUUUUAAAAUAUUACAUUUUAAUGAAACUUUCAUUAAUUACUUGUAACAACAUUAGUAAAAUGUUAUAUUAUUAAUAGUAAAAACUAAAAAAUAAAAAAUAAAAAAUAAAAUAAAAAUGAAUUUAAAUUAUAGAAAAUAUUUAUUUUUACUUAAAUUUAACUUAUUCAAUUAUAAAAUAUAAAAAUUGAAUUAAAUUUAAAAAAUAAAAAGAUAUUCCUAAAAGUCUCUUAAUAUGUCUAAUAAAAUAAAACUAAAAAUAAAUUUAAAAUAUAGAAAAUAUUUCUUUUUACUUAAAAUUUAACUUAUUCAAUAACAAAUUAUAAAAAUUAAAUUAAAUUUAAAAAAUUGAAAGAUAUAACUAAAAGUCUAUUAAUACGUUUAUUACGUUUUCCUUUCUCAAUUUUUUUUAACGAAAAGAGAAAUGGAAAAAUAUUAAAAUAUUUUUCUAAAAAAAAAAGUUUUUAGAAAAAGAAAAUAUUUUUAGAAAAAAUAUUAAGAGAUGGAAGAAAUGUGACACUUCAAUAAAAGAGGAAAGGAGAAAGAGUGGAGAAAAACAAGAAAUAAUUAUUUAAAAGUCAAAUGAUGAAGACCCACAAACACAUUCACAUUGCAAACUAUAGGAUUUUGAUAGAUUAUUUACUUUAAUCGGUCCUAAAUCAUAAUUGUCCUUUUUCUUUUUCCUUUUUUUUUCUCCCUUUGUGGGGGAGGGUGGGGGUCAUGACUGUCCUACCCAAAUUAAUCACCUCUCUCUCUCUCUCUCUCCCCCUCUCUCUCUCUCUCUCUCUCAACACAAAAUCAUCCAGUAUUUGCUAGGGCUUUUCGAUGUGUAAUUGCAAUGCAAACAUGGAUUGCCCCAAGAACUCCAUUGGGAACUUCGCCAUUGCUCUACUCCUUAUCGAGGUUGUCUAUCUCUGCCUCUCCUGUCAAUUCCAGACCUUCCAAUGGCCCCAACCACCCACUGUAAGUCUCCAUUAAUUCUCCAUUAGGGUUUCCCUCCAUUUAUCUCAAAAUCCAAAAAAUUAAAAGAUUAUCAUUAUUUUAUGUUACACCAUUUUCUUUCUCUUUUUUCUUACAGAAAGCUCUCGAGGCGGUGCCUCAAGACGAUCUCGAAGCAGCGUUGAGCAAAGCAUCAAUGCCCAACAAGACUGUAAUAAUCACAAUAGUGAACAAAGCCUAUGUCGAAGGCGACGACACAUCGAUGCUGGAUCUUUUUCUGGAGAGCUUCUGGAUCGGAGAAGGCACUAGGGAGAUGGCGGACCACCUCUUGGUGGUGGCGGGGGACCAGACGGCGUACGACCGCUGCAUUUUCCGGAGACUCCACUGCUACAAAAUGGUGGGCGAGGACGGAGAUAUGGAGGGGGAGAAACUUUACAUGUCGGAGGACUUCAUCGAGAUGAUGUGGAGAAGGACUCUCCUUCUCCUGCAUGUGCUCGAGCGUGGCUACAGUUUCAUCUUCACGGUACGUACUAUUACUAAACGACACCGUUUUGGUCCAAUUUUUUGGAGUUAGGCUUUUGUUUGCCGUUUAAUUAGCUUAAUUAAAUGUAAAUAUUAAAAGUGGGGCGUUUUGAUUGACAACUUAUAAUAACCACAUUAACCAAACAGACCGUAUCCUUUAUUUAUUUAUUUUUUCCUUUUGGAUUUUUAAUUUUUUUAAAUAUUUCAAAACAAAAUAUAAUUUAUUUUUACUAGUAAAUUUUAUUUUAUGUGUUGAGAUGGGGAUUUAUUUAAUUAUACAUGCAAUUUUGUCGAGGAAAAAAUUAAAUCAUCCUAUAGGGAAAAAAAAAGGCAAAAUUAGAAUUUUCUUUUAUUAUUAUAAAUUGACAUUUUCUAAUAUCAUAUAUUAUAAUUGCUCAUAAAAAAUGAAAACUUUUUAAAAAUUUAAUGAAGUUAAUGAUCUUGUUAGGAUAAGUUUAUUUAAAUAGCUUUUAAUUUAAAAUUUUUAAUAUUAAAAUAUAAAAAAAUAUUUAUUUUCUUUCACAUAAAAAAAAAAAAAAAAAAUCUCUUUGUUUGAAUCCUUAUUAUCAUAUCAUCAAGUGGUGGUUAACCAAUUCAACUUUCUUGGGUAAUUUACCUCGUAUCCUUACUUUAUUACUACAAUUGAAUAAAACUUCCUGAAUAAUUAAAUAAAUAUUAAAAUAUUAAAAUAUUAACUUAAAAUGAAAAUAAAAAAUAAAAAAUUGAAGCCAAAAAAUCUAGCUCUACUUCAUUAACAUAAAUACAUGAAGUUUGAUGUUUUUCUUUUUCCAUAAUGAAUAUUUGUUUUUAUUUUAUACUGAAAUUUUAUUUUGAAUUAAAAUGAAGAUUUGUGUCAUGUGAAAAUGGUGGAUUUAUUUUUUGUUUUUAUUUGUUUUUUUUUUUUUCUUAAUAUGGAAUUUUAAUCGUUUAGUCAAUAGUCAAUAUAAUAUGGACUCCUAAAAGAUGAAAAAGAUAGAACUAAUGUGUGUUGAGUAAUGUUUUAUCGAUAACUAUUUUCUUUAAAAUUAUUUUUUAAAUGUUUUCAAUAUAAUCAUUAAUCAAGUAUUUUUUUAUAAAACAGUAAAAGUAAAUUUUAUUUUAUUUUUAAAAUUUGUAAAAGUGCUUAAAUUUUAUCAAAUGCAUAAUUUUUUUCAAAAACACUCUUUACAUUAAAAACACUUUUUAAAAUCAUCAUCAAAUGGAUUUUUAAUAUAAUAAAAUUAUAAGAAAUGUGUUCAUAUUCUUAUCAUUUCUAAAAAAAUGUAGCAUAUGGUAAUUACUAUAUAAUAUUAUUUAUAUACAUAAUUUUUUUUAAAAUAUAUAUUAAAAUUAAGAAGACUAUAAUAUUAAAAAAAAAAUGAAUAAGAAUAUUAAUAAAAAACAAAAUAGGAAAAAAUAAUAGGAAAGAAGUAACUAAGCCUUAAACAUUAUUCACACAAAUAAUAUUAAGAUAAUAAUUUCCUAGAAAAGGGAAAAAAAUAUGAGAAAUAAAAAAAAAAAAGAUAAAUAUAAGGUAGUGAGUUUUAAACCUAGCUAAGAUUUCCCUUUUUCUUUUCUUUUUUUUCUUUUUUUUUUUGUUUUACUUUUUUAUUUUAAUUAAUGGAACAUAUAUAUAAAGAAACAAGACAAAUAAAAUAAAUAUCGAUAAAUUGAAGAAUUUUGAGUUGAAAAUCACUAGUAUUUUGCUUUUCCAUUUUUAAUUUUAAGUUGAUUUAUGUUUUUUAUUUUUUAAAAAUUAUUGAUAGAAAUUAGGUUUCACAUCAAUGACUAAGAAUGGCUAAGAAGAUGGGAUAAGAAGAUGAGAUGAUUCAAUUCCAACUAUUAUUAACUACUUGAUGCAAUGGGAAGGGAUUUUUUAUUUGAGGAGGUCCACCCCACCAUAAUAUUUUUGAACUUAUUUAGGAGGUUGUUAAUCUAUUUUUAAUAAAUACCAAAUUAUGACUUUCACUCCAAAAACAAAAUAGUGAAGUCAAUGUCCCAACACAAUCAUUUUUAAUAUUAAGGUUAAACUUGAUUUAAAUUUUUUUAACCAAAGCUCAAUUUGAACGAAUUAAAUUUUAUAGCAUUUAUAUUUAUAUUGUUAUAUAUAGUAACAUUUAUUUUUUUUCCUUUUAGAUUUUUAAUAAAAGAGUUUCAAAUUAUUAUUAUAUAUUUUUCUAUAGAGAUAAAUUUAUUUUGCCUCAUUUACUAUUUAAAUUUGAAUUAAUUGGUUCAAAAAGGAUUAAAUGAUUAUCAUAUUUGUGAAUUUAACCUCUUCAUGUUUUUAUUUAAAGAGUAAUCCAUUUAAACAUAAAUAUCGUUAACCAUCGCAUGUAUUUACAUGUAUGUUUUAAAAAAUGGUUAUUUUUAUAAGAAAAAAAUAAGGUCAUUUGUAUACAAAUGAGAUUAAAAGAAUGAUGAAGUGCUAAAUUUUUGAAAUUGGAUUUUUAACAACCCUUUAAAUUUUGUUACAAUUUAUAUUUUUUAUAAGGGCUAAAUUUUCAAAAUUGGAUUUUUAACGGCCCUUUAAAUCAAAUAACCCUUUAAAUUUUGCUACAAUUUAUAUAUAUAUUUUUAAAUAUUAAAAUAUAGUUAGUUAAACUUAGUUUGAUUGUUUUAUUCUUAAGAGCUUGUAUUGAUUUGAAACUCGAAUCAAGGAGCCCUAGAUGAGAUGGAUAGAAUUGUUUUCUUAGAUCAAUUUCUACUAAAAUUUUAACACAGGACACGGAUGUAAGUUGGCUGAGGAACCCAUUUCCAAGGUUAACCACAAACCUAACUGCAGAUCUCCAAAUCAGCACCGACAAGUUCCUCAGCAGCCACCGGCCGGAAGACAACUCCAUUAACACCGGAUUCUACUUCGUCCGAUCAAACAACAAGACCAUUGCCCUCUUUCAAACCUGGUAUGCCAUGAAGAACAACUCCAUAGGGAAGAAAGAACAAGAUGUACUAUCAGACCUUAUGCUGAAGGGCAUUUUUAGGCAGCUGGGUCUUGAAGUAAGGGCCCUUCACACCCUCUACUUCAGUGGGUUUUGCCAAGAUAGCAAAGACUUUAGGGCAGUCACCACUGUCCAUGCUAACUGCUGCAGAAGUAUUAGCGCCAAGGUGGCUGAUCUCAAGGCCGUCCACCGUGACUGGAGGCGGUUCAAGGCGGCCACCGCCACCAACAAGACGGUCACCGACGUUGAUGCUGCGACUUUCCGGUGGUCUGCUCAUGCAGCAUGUGUCAAUUCCUGGAAUAUUCCGAUGAAUACUGUGGGAUGAGUUUUGCUUGGAACAACAUAAUACAUAGAUGGAUAGAAGGUACAUUAUUUAGUUUGAGAUAAGACCAGUUGGUUUUUCAGGCUUCCCAACAGGAAAAUGACCUUAAACUUUUUCUCUUGAAAGCAAACUCUAGAUAUGUUUGGCUGGGAACAUGUUUUCCAUAUUUCUAAAUAUUAUUUUUAACUGUAAUACUUUGUUUUCCAUCAUUCUUCCUAUAAUAAUUAUUUUUUAUAACAAUCCCAAAAAAAAAUAAUUGUGAAGACGCAUGUUUGGUAACGGUUUCGAUAACAAUUUUUUGUUUCGUAAAAGAAAAAAACAGAAAAUUACGAAAACUAUUUUUUAUUUUCUAAUCUUAAGAAUAUAAAAUAUGUUGUUUUUAAAUAACAUCUUCUGUUUAAGGAAUUUUUUAUUGCAUUAAGUUUAAUUAUCCUACCCUUUUAUCGUAUGAAUGCUUUUAUCUUUGCUUCAAAUGGUAUACAAAAAUUACAAAGUUUUCAACCACCCUAAAAAUUAAAGGUUGUCAUUAUCAUGUUAUUUUUUAUUAAAUUAUUAAAUUUAAUAGAUUCCUUCAAUCAAUGAAUUUUUUAUUAUUAAAUUUUGAUAAAUCAAAUAUGGGAAAUAAAAGUGUUUCUUAGUGAUUAAAAACUAUAAUAAAAUUACAAAAAUAAUUGCAAGUAGGCAUCCAAAUAAUACAUUAAUAAAUUUUAUAGAAUCUACCACUCUAACAAAUAGUGUGCAAAGAAUAACGGAUUUUGUUUAGAGAUUGAAGUUGACUAAAAAAUAUUCACAUAUUGCUAUAAUAAAAUAUUUCUAAUUCUAUAAAGUUAUCAAUGGAGGCUAUUUGGAACUUCUAUAUGUACCAAUAUUAUUAUAUUUAUAAAGAAUCAAAUGGAGCAAACUAUUUUGUCAUCAAAGGUAUAUAGAAUAUGGAGUUAGGUCAAAUUUUCUUAGAAGCUUAUAACAUAUGGAUUUGAAGAUUACUUUGAAUCAUAUUUUAAUAUAAUCUCUAAAUACCCUAUCCAUAGCCUCUUUGUACCCAUUAUAAAAAUGUGUUAUAAAUAUGAUAUUCUACAUAGUAAUAAAAAAAUAUCUUAAAUGAUAUCAAAAUAUAUUUAAAGUGCAUUUGAUAGUAAUUUUAAAAAGUGUUUUUAAUAUUUGAAAUACUUAAAAAAUAAAAAUAAAAACAUUUCAAGUAUCAAAAAAACAAAAAAAUACUUCCUAAAAUAACUACUAAACACACUCUUAAACGUAAAGAUAAAUUUUACAUUGAAAUAUAGGACAUUAAUUAAAUUUUUAGCAUUCUUAAUUUUGAUGGCUAUACAUGCUAAUUUAAUAGUUCAAUUAAUCAACUAAUUAAAAUAUAACAUUUUUAAAAUCUUAGUUUAUUAAAUGGUUCAACUGCCUUUCAUCACUUUUUUUUUCAUGCAAUUAUUAAAAUUAAAAUUAACUUCAAGAAAUGAAUAAACAAAAUCACCUUUUGUCCAAAAUAAUUUUGUGCAUUGGUUGCAUGAAACUCAACUUCUUUACCAACUUUAUACUAACCAUAAGCUCUUACCUCCUAUAUUUCUCUCAUAAAUUCUUUUUAAAUAUAUGAAUAUAUCAAAUUUAAUAAUUUUUAAAAAUUAAACUAAUUUUAGCUAACAAUCUUAAUAAUUAAAAUGGAAUUAAAUAAUAAGUUUUAAUUUGACAAAUCAUUAAAAUACAAUUUUAUUCAUCUUAAAUUAUGAAAUAUUAAGUUUCAAAUUUUAUCUAAAAAUAUUUCAAGGAUGUAUAAACAUUUACUUUUUCUAUGAAUAUUAAAAUUUAUUAUGUCCCAUCUUAAGGAAAAUCCACAUUUUUUACUUUAAAAAUUUACAUUCUCCAUCAACAUCAAAAUGGAUAUAAUAAAUAUUGUGUCCAACUAGUUUUUGGGAAAAAAAAAAAAGGAAAAAAGAAAUCUUUCAAUCCUCCCCAAAUUCACUUAUUUCCAUUAGCAUUUUGAUUUAUUUCCUUUUAUAGUGAUGUCAUAAAGAUUUUUCUUAAGUUAUUUUAAUUUACUUCUUUUAGAUAUGUCCUAAAGUGUGAUGCAUCGAGUAGGGUGAGUGAGGUUUGUGUCAACCCGAAAUCAAACUCAAACUCAACUUCAUCUUUAACUCAAGGUGUUAAACCCAAUUCCAAUUCAAUCUUAAUAUUUUUUGUUUCAAGAUUAGGUUAGAUUCAUGUAGUUGAUCAUCAAGUUUAGGUUAAACUAGGAUUGAUCAUGAUAGACUAAGGUUAGAUUCAGGAUUUGAUCGCGAUAGACUAGGGUUGAGUGAGUUAUUCGAAUUGUAUAAAUUAAAUUCAAAUUACAUGGUAAAUCCAUUUAAAUUUGUAAUGACUUUUUUAAUUAUAUCUUAUCAAAAUUUAGAUAAAACACAUUUUGAUCAAAUAAUGAAAUAAUCUAUUUAUCUUUCUAGAAAACAAGAUUAUAGAUAAUAUAAAUAAAUUUGAUUCUUUUUUCAAAAAAAAAAUAUUUGAAAUAUAUAAAUUGAAUAUUAUAUAAUAAAAAAAAUUAUGAAUAUCAUAAGAUAUUGAAUCUAAGUUUCAAGUUGUCUAAAUCAUUAAUCCAAAUGUAACUUAAAUUGAACUCAAACUAAAAAACCUUGAAUCUUAAACUUUAGGUUAGAUUUAGGCUAUGCGGCCAAAAUUUCACCCCUAAGUUAACAUUAUUCUAUAUGAGCUAGGUGUUGGUUUAAGGGUCUAAAAUAACUAAACAAAUUGACUUAACCCAAAACUAAACAAAUAAGAAAUAAAACCAAUAGGAAAUAGAUACUUAUCAAAUUGUUUAGUUGAGGCUUGACAGAGCGUUGUCCUUAAAAGAGAUCUUCCCUCCUCAAGGUAUCAACCUUGGUGUGGUAGGGAAUCGACAUCUUGUCUUCAAGAUUCACAACCAAAAAAACCCCGCCUUAGGUGCACACCUUUGACAAGGAAAGUAUGGCUUGAAAGACUUAGAAGAUAAUUCCUCUAGUUAAGUAAAUGAUGAAAGGGUUGUAGCCUGAGAUGGCAGUAGUAAAACAAGCUUGCGGCUUAGGUGUAGUGUGACUAGUUGGUUACAACACUAUAUAAGAGGAUGUAGUGAGGGUAGAGCAUAGGUCUUGGGGUAUAGUAUGACUGGUUGGUUGUGUUACAAAAUUAUACCGGUAGAAAUAAUUUAAAAAUGGAAUAAUAAAAAAAAUAGAGCAAUAAAUAAAAUAAUUGGUAAAAGUACCUACAUAAUAAAACUCUUUUAAUAUGAAGGAAACCUCCACAGGGUAAAACCCCUUUUUUGGGAUGAAUAGUAUAGGGGGUGGAGGCCGCCUUUAAUAGCACAAGGAAGUUUCCCUCUUUUUAUCUUCUUCCAAUGUGGGGUGACUGAUUACUACUCAAAAAGAGCGUAUUUUAGAUAAUAAUUCUCAUGAGUUUCACAUCUUUUGAGUAGUAAUUAUGCCUAAAACACUCAAUUAACAUGUUGUUGUCCUUGCAAGAGUUACUAACAAGUUUUAUGAAGUUUUGGAGUCAUUUCAAGGUAUAAAUUUGAUAAAUUGGUGAUAAAAGAGAUGAAUCAAAUUAAAGAGAACAAAUAAUGUUGAUGAUGAUCCAAAUGCAUAAUUAAAGAAGUAAUGCAAUUGGUUUAGACUGGGAUUUGAGCUGAUUUAGAGGUAGUUGAAGUGGAAAAAGAAAAAGAAAAUGGAAGAAAUGACAAAAGAAAGCUUAAAAAUCAAAUAUUUCCAUUUCGCAUGAUCAUGCGAAAAUUUCGCAUAACUAUGCAAAAUAGACUAGAAGGUGGAAUUAUGUUGCAGGCUAAAGGAGAAUUGUCAAGCUGAUUUCGCAUGAUCAUGCGAAAAUUUUACACAGUCAUGCUAAAUACUCUAGAAAGUUGUAAAUGCUGCUGUUGAAAUCUUGAUUUCUCACAACCAUGUGAAAUUGGUUGAGCUCAUGCGAAAUUGGUUGAGCUCAUGCAAAAUGGUCAUCUUGUUGUUAAACUUUAGAUUUCUUGAUGAAGAAGCUUCCAAAAGACCUCUUAAAUGAUGUCAAGUGUGCACUUGACCUUGGCCUAUAAAUAAAAACUUGAAUUUCUCAUGUAAAAUGAGAGUUUUUUUAUUUCUAAUCGUAUAAUUUUCCAGAUUUUCUCUCUCAAUAGAAUUCUCUACUUUCCUUAAUUUUCUUACUAGCCAAACAUGCCUUGUGAGACCAAAUCUCCAAGCAUGAGUGGCUAAAUCUUGUUUUUCUCGGAUGAAUGAGGAUCUAGAGGCAAGAUCUAUGGUGAAUUAGAGAAAUGAGUUUUAAUUACAAAGGUAAUUUGAUCCAAUUGAUUGAUUAAUUGAAUUUUGGGGAUUUUUCUCUUCAAGUUCUCUUGGAUGACUACUACAAUGCAAACUAGGUAGAUUCAUUAAAUUCUUAAAAUUAGAUUUGAUGAGAUUGAAUAGUUGCAUUGUGUAAAUCAUUGGAAGAUCAUUUAAGAUGAAUUGAAUAUGUGAUUUAAAUUGAUCUCUUAGAUUAAAUGAUCUAAUUUGAAGAGAAAUUAGAUCUAGACAUAAAGCUAAAUCAAAAAUCGGUUUAAAUGAAAAUUUAGGUUUUCAAUCUAACUUAAUGAAAAUUAGAUCUCAACAUCUAUUCACCAUGGAAUUUGUUUAAAAUUCUAACUCCAAAAAUUUCAUUUCCUAUUAAUUUUCUUAUAUUUCACAUUUCAUUGUUUUUCUCAAUUAGAAACCAUUGUUAAAUUGAUUUUUCACCAAAAAUUUUCAAAUCAAUUUCACUUUAUCACAAUCAUUUCUUCUCCUCUCAUUUAAGCCUUAAUUACCAAGAGCAAUCCAUCCUAGUAGACAACACCUAAAAACCACUAUACUAUAGUAGUUUGUACUAAAACCACUUUUUGAUCAGGUACAAGCUACUCUAGAAUAGUGAAUUAGGUUAUAAAUUGUGUUUUGAUCCAAUAAACAACGAAAAAUCAAUCGAUCAAAAAUGGCACCAUUGCUGGGGAUGGUGCCAAGGUGAUUGAGGCAAAUUUAUUGGUGAUGAUUAGCCCUUGUGAUCCACAUCACAAGAUUGGUGAAGUUCUCUUUACUGAUUCUCCAUUUUUCUUUUUCUUUUUUCUUUUUAAAAUUCCAUUUUUUUUCUUUUACUUCUCUUUUUGUUAUUCUUGGUUUGUUUUGGUUUUUCUUGGCUUGUUUUGUAGGCUCUCCAUCGCAUGCUACAUUGAGAAUAAAAUUUGAGGGAGAGAUUGCAAAGAACUUACAUUGCUAAUCAUCUUUGAUUUGUGAUCUAAUUGUUGAGGAAAUGGAAAAUCAAGAGGAAGACUAGCAAAGUCAUCAUAGACCAAACAAUGAUAAUUCUCACAUGUCUAGAUCAAUGAGAGAAUAUAUGCAUCCUCAAAGGAUAGGCGUGGGAUCAUGUAUAGUUCUUCCUAAUGAGCCUAUUGUUAUAAAAACUCACUUAGUAUCACUUCUCCCUCAAUUUCAUGGAAUGGAGAAUGAGAAUCCUUAUACUCAUAUAAAGGAUUUUGAAGAUGUCAUACUUUUCAAGAAGGGACUGUAUCCAUAGAGCUUAUGAGAUUGAAGCUUUUUCCAUUCACAUUGAAGGAUAAUGUCAAGUUGUGGUUCAACUCAUUGAGGCCCCAAAACAUAAGGUCAUGGUUGGAACUACAAACAACCUUAUUAAAGAAAUUUUUUCCACACAUCAUAUAAGUGGCUUGAAAAGGAAAAUUACCAACUUUGUGGCAUUGGACAAUGAAAAAUUUUAUGCUUGUUGGGAAAGAUAUAUAGAAGUAGUCAAUGCUUGUCCUCAUCAUGGUUUUGAUGUUGGUGAGUUACUUCUAUGAGGGCAUAUUGCCAACUAUGAAGCAAUUGCUAGAAACCAUGUGUGGAGGUGACUUUAUGAGCAAAAGUCUCGAUGAAGCCUUUGAAUUUUUGAAUUAUGUGGCUAAAAUAUCAAGGUCAUGGGAUGAGCCACAUGAAAGAGAUUUACACAAGUCCAAGUCGAUCUCAAAGCAAUUCAAAAAGAGGAAUGUAUAUGUUGAAUGAAGAUGUUGAUCUACAAGCUCAAAUGAUAGCUUUGACAAAAAGGCUAGAGGAACUUGAAGCUAAGGGAUUUCAUGAAGUGAAUGCAAUAGAUAAUCCAAUUUACUUGGAGCAAUGUUCUAGUUGUCAAUCUAUAGAACAUGAAGUGAGUGAUUGUCCUACAAUACCAGCUAUGGGAGAAAGACUUGUUGAGAAUCAUCUGAACAUGUCAUGGAAUUGUGGACAAGAGCAAUUUUCUUCAAGCCAAUACUUACAAAGCCAACAAUUCAUGGAAGACUCUCCAUAAUAAGUUUCUUUGGUUAAGCAAGCUAUUGUAAACUUGAGUAAAAUUUUGGGAGAUUUUAUUGGUAAUCAAAAGAAUAUCAAUACCCAAGUAAACCAAAUGAUAGAUCAUGUGGAGACAUUUUUCAAUUAGAAAUUUGAUAGCUUGCAAACCAAUCUCACAUAAAAAAAUUGAUAAUAUGCAGCUUGCUAUUUCUAAACUCACAAGUAUGCAUAGAGUGCAAGAAAAAGGAAAAUUCUCUUCACAACCUCAACAAAAUUCAAGUGGAGCUCAUGACAUUGGAGAAAAAAAAAGUGAAAAUUCUGCUAAAUUAAAUGAAGUAAAGGCAGUCAUUACCUUAAGAUGUGGUAAGCAAGUUGAUCAACUUAUGCCAAAACCAAAAGAGAAUAAAAGCUGGGAACAAGAAGAAAAUGUGAAAGAGCAAGAAAGAUGAAAAAGAGUGAAUGAAGAUGAUAGAUAAAAGGAAUAUGAGAUUGUUAAUGAAGAGGUUAAGAAGAAAUACAAGUUAUUAUCUCCACCUUUUCCAAAAGCUCUUCAAUUAAGAAAUGUGGUAAAUAAUGCUACUGAAAUUUUUGAAGUUUUGAAGCAAGUCAAAGUUAAUAUACCACUCCUAGACAUGAUAAGACAAGUUCCAGCCUAUGUCAAGUUUCUUAAGAAUUUGUGUAUCAUAAAGAGAAUGAUGCAUUUGAAAAAGAAAGCUUUCUUGACUGAACAAGUUAGUGCAAUCAUUCAAUGGAAGACCCCAAUCAAGUAUAAGGAUUUGGGAUGUCCAACUAUCUCAGUGACUAUUGGCAACACUUUUAGACUUGGGAGCAAGUAUGAAUCUUCUUCCCAAGGUAUUUAAGCAAUUGGGGCUUAGAGAAGUAAAGUCUAUUUCCAUCACACUUUCAUUGGCAGAUAGAUCGGUUAAAUUUCCAAGAUGAAUUAUUGAAGAUGUGUUGAUCCAAAUCGAUAACUUCUAUUAUCCAGUUGAGUUUGUGGUGCUUGAUACGGAAUAAGGAACUAGUGGACUCAACCAUGUUCCUAUUAUACUUGGCCGACUUUCCUUGCCAUAGCAAAUGUAUUGAUUAAUUGUCAAAGUGUGGUGAUGCAACUUACCUUUGGUAACAUGACAAUUGAACUAAAAAAAUUUCAUUCAUGUAAGAAGCAUGGUACCAAAGAUGAGGAACUUAUGAAGGCUUAUUUGAUUGAAUUGCCUAUGGAAGAGUUAGUGAAAGAAAAUGUUGAAGAUAAUUUUUCAAAACUUGGUGAAACAAUUUCCAAUAAACAGAUUGAAGUUUGGAGGAUUAAUGAAGAAAUUCAACCUUUGAAGUUAAUGAAAUGGUCUUUCUACUUCAAGAAAGUGAAAACAAUGAAGCAUGGUAUGCAUAAUAAUUCAAAGACUAUAAAAAAAGAAGCUCAAGGAAUGGCAUAACCAACUUAUUCAAAAGAAUAAGUUCAAAGAAGGUUAUUUCAAGCCACAUAUUUUUCCAGGAAAGCUUAAGUACCAAGGAGUUGGUCCAUUCAUUGUUUGCAAACCAUAUCCAAAUCGAGUAUUGAUGCAAAGGUUAAUGGGCUUAGUCAUGUCAAUGGCCAGCUAGCCUAAUGGUUUCUCAUUUCUCUACUUUCCUUUGAAUUUCGAUUUUUUUGAGUUUUCUUUUAGUUUCCAUUAAAUAAAUUCAUCUCAACUCUUUGAUUUGUGUUUUGAAGGACUUUUUGGAUGGAUAGAAUGCAUGAAGUAAGGAAAAAUGAGUUUUAAUGGCCCAUCACCGGUUUGCACAUUCGCGUAAAAACAGGAGAAUUCAUGCCAAAAACAAGGGAGUUUUCAUAGUUUUGAAAAUGCAAAAAAAAAUGAGUCUCUGUCUCAUUUCACAUGACUAUGCGAAACUGAUGUGGAUGACUACAGCAGUUUUAAGCCUCUAGACCAAUUCACAUGAUCAUGCGAAUUUUCACAUAACUAUGCGAAAAUUCUGUUGAAUGCUACAAUAAGAUAGAGCUCUCUUGACCAAUUCUCAUAUACAUGAGAAUUUUUGCAUAAUUGUGUCAAAUUCUUUUAAAAGAAAAGAGUAAUUGCAACACACUUCACCUUCUUGUCUAAUUUGCACAUUUAUGUGAAAUUUUAAAAAACUCCAUGUGAAUAUUGGCUUAUCAUUGAAAUCAUGUUUUCUUUGGAUAUUGUCAUCAUCUAUACCUUGAUUUUACUUCACACAUUGUGUCUCUAACAUAGUUUUUUGGUUUUUAAUAGAUUUGUUUUCAUAUUUUCUUCUCUUAUGUCAUUCAUAUCCAACAAUUCUUAUGUGUGAUCUUAUUUUUGUUUUAGCUAUUGAAGCUUAAAUUCAUGAGAGAUUGAGGUAUCUUCCCUUCCUUUCUUUGUAUAUUUUCAUUACACAUUGAGGACAAUGUACAAGUUAGGUUGGAGGGAAGGUUAAAAAGGAAGAUAAAGAAAUAUAUAGUUAGUUUUGUUAGUGGUUAAAAAGGAAGAUAAAGAAAUAUAUUGUUAGUUUUUUUAGUUUUUCUAGAAUAUUUUUUUUCAUAAAUCACAUUUGUGACUUAUCUAGUGAAAUUUUUUGAGAUGACUAUAGCAUUUAUGAUUGAUGAAUGAGCAAACCUAAUUUGAAAAAAAAAAUUGAUUUAGAAUACUAGUUUAUUUGUUUGAUCUUAGAAGAUUUGCUAUGUGAAUUAAAUUUGAUUUGACUUUGACGUCUUCAUUUUCCAAAUGGUCAUUUUUAUUUGAGUCUUGACACAUACUAUGCACUCUAGACCUCAGAUAUAAGAUGAAAAACUAGUUUAACUUAAGACUUGGACUUAAUUGUCUUGUAACAUUGAUUACUCUUUAAUUGAGUUGAGACACCUUAAAAAGAUGCCAGCAUGCCCAAUUUUAAAAAAAAAAUGAAUGAAAAAAAAAUGAGUUAUGCUUGCCUUGAAACUUAAGCAAAGUUUGAGGAGUAUAUGGCCCAAAGGUCUUUGAAGCUCGAUGCCCUAAGUCAUUUUGGUUGGGAGCCACCAACCUCAAUGCUCAUUACAUGGGUGGAUAGGUGGAGUAUGAGCUCAAUUGUAGGUGCUAAGGUAUUGGAUCCCAAUUUGAGGAGUCCAGGGUAAAGUCCAAGGAGUUAGUGGCUGGUUAAGUAGUCAUAUAAACUUGGUGCCCUAUGCCUUAUGGUUGGGAGUCAUCGAUGAAUCCUCACUACAUGGACCAUAUACUUGGAGAUAUCUUUAGCAUUGCACUCCUACAAUAAGUUCUUUGAAAAUAAUAAUAAUAAUAAUAAUAAUAAUAAUAAGAUAAAGAUAGGUACGUUCUUGACUUAUGAGAGAAUGAUUUUUGUUGUUUGAGAUCAAUUGAGUUAGGUUGGGGGAGGAUUAGUUUUGAGUACUAUAUUCGGGAGCUAGCUUAAUUACACUCAACACUUGUUUAGGGAAUGAAGAUAGAUAUGUUUUUGAUACCUUGAUUUGCAUGACAUUCUUUCUAUUAGAGAUAGUAAAUAAGUUGGGAUUUUUUUUAUACCUAUGGAUAGUAGGGUGUGUUUGUUUAUCAACCAUUUAUGCUAUGGAAAUUUCAAAGAUUUUUUUUUCAAAUGAUUUGCUUAUGUGACUUAUGAUUUCUUUUUUUGGUAUUGUUUUUCUUUCCUUUUGUCAUACAAUUGCUAAGAGACGAGCAAUGUGUUGGUUAGGGGGAAUGAUAACUACUCAAAAAGAGCAUAUUUUAGAUAAUAAUUCUCAUAAUUUUCACAUUUUUUGAGUAGUAAUUAUGUCUAAAACACUCAAUUAACAUGGUGUUGCCCUUACAAGAGUUAUUAACAAGUUUUAUGAAGUUUUGAAGUCAUUUCAAGGUAUAAAUUUGAUAAAUUAGUGACAAAAGAGAUGAAUCAAAUUGAAGAGAACAAAUAAUGUUGAUGAUGAUCCAAAUGUGUAAUUAAAGAAGUCAUGCAAUUGGUUUGGACUGGGAUUUGAGCUUAUUUGGAGGUAGUUGAAGUGGAAAAGAAGAAGAAAAUGGAAAAAAUGACAAAAGAAAGCCAAAAAUCAAAUAUUUCCAUUUCGCAUAACUAUGCGAAAUGGACUAGAAAGUGGAAUUAUGUUGCAAGCUAAAGAGAAUUGUCAAGCUGAUUUCGCAUGAUCAUGCGAAAAUUUCGCACAAUCAUGUGAAAUGCUCCAGAAAGUUGUAACUGUUGUUAUUGAAUUCUUGAUUUCGCAUAACCACGCAAAAUUGGUUGAACUCGUGCGAAAUGGUCAUCUUGUUGUUAAACUCCAGAUUGGUUGAUGAAGAAGCUUCUGAAAGUCCUCUUAGAUGACAACAAGUGCCCACUUGACCUUGACCUAUAAAUAGAAACUUGAAUUUCUCAUGUAAAAGUGGAUCUUUUGGACAUUUCUAAUUGUAGAAUUUUCCAAAUUUUCUCUUUCAAUAGAAUUCUCUAUUUUCCUUCAUUUUCUAUCAUUUUCUCACUAGCCAAACAUGUCUUGUGAGACCAAAUCUCUAAGCAUGAGUGGCUAAAUCUUAUUUUUCUCGGAAGAAAGAGGAUCUAGAGGCAAGAUUUAUGGUGAAUUAGAUAAAUUAGCUUAAUUGCAAAGGUAAUUUGAUCCAAUUGAUUGAUUAAUUGAAUUUUGGGGAUUUUUCUCUUCAAAUUGUCUUAGAUGACUACUACAAUGCAAACUAGGUAGAUUCAUUAAAUUCUUAAAGCUAGAUUUGAUGAAAUUGAACAAUUACAUUGUGUGAAUCAUUGAAAGAUAAUUUAAGAUGAAUUGAAUAUAUUAUUUGAAUUAAUCUCUUGCAUUAAAUGAUCUAAUUUGAAGAUAAAUUAAAUCUAGACCUAAAGUUAAAUCAAAAAUCAGUUUAAAUGAAAAUUUAGGUUUUCAAUCUAACUUGAUGAAAAUUAGAUCUCAACAUCUAUUCACCAUGGAAUUUGUUUUCUAGAAAAUUCUAACUCCGAGAAUUUCAUUUCCUAUUAAUUUUCUUCUAUUUCACAUUUCAUUGUUCUUCUCAAUUAAAAACCAUUGUUAAAUUGAUUUUUCCCCAUAAAAUUUCAAAUCAAUUUCACUUGAUCACAAUCAUUUCUUCUCCUCUCAUUUAAGCCUUAAUUACCAAGAAUAAUCCAUCCUAGUGGACGACACCUAAAAACCAUUAUAUUAUAGUAGUUUGUACUAAAAACACUUUUUGAUUGGGUUUUACAAGCUACUCUAGAAUAGUGAAUUAGGUUAUAAAUUGUGUUUUGAUCCAAAAAACGACAAAAAAUCAAUCAAUCAGUGACUUCAACCUUAACAUUCUCCCACUUGAAGUCAUUCUUCUAUAUCUUGCCUUAUCACAUGCUACUUAACGUUACUACCAAGCCAUAAGAGGAUCUUCAUCAACUAAAUUUAUCAGUAUUAAUUGGUUUUGUCAAGGCAUCUAUUAGAUUAUCCUUUAUAUGGAUCUUUUACAACAGAAUAGGAAAAUCUUCUUUUGUUUGUGCCCAAGCUCCUUUAAUAACCUUUUAAUCUAAAUAGCUUCUUUGCAAGUCUGUGUAGUUGUCAUGUAUUCUACUUCUAUUAUAGAUAGAGUCACAACAAUUUGAAGUUUUGAAACCCAACUCACAAUUCCUCAUGUAAAGGUGAACACAUAGCCUGUAGUAGAUUUUCUUUUAUCAAGUUCACUUGCAAAGUCUUAAUCAAUAUAACCUUCAACAAUGAAUUUUGAUCCUCUAAAACAUAAUACAGCAUUUGAAGUCCCUUUAAUGUAUCUAAGGAUCCUCUUAAAUAUAUUCCAAUGUUCUCUCCCCAGGAUUGCUUGAACCGAAUUACCACUCUUACUACUUGUGGAAUGUUUGGUCUUGUACAAACCAUAACAAACAUUAAGCUUUCCAUUACUAAUGCAUAUGGUGUUCGAGAUAGUUUCAUCCUCUCCACUUUAUUACUAGGACUCAUACUUGAAGAUAAUUUUUAAUUCACUUAAAAUAGGAUAGAACUGGCUUACAAUCAUGCAUGUUGAAAUGGCAUAAAAUUUUCUUCAAUUAUUUUUUCUAUGAUAGUCAAAUCUUCUUGCUUUAUCUAUCUUGAUGAAUUUGCACCCCUAGAAUUUUGUUUGUUGAUCCUAGAUCCUUCAUUUCAAACAUCCUAGCCAAUUGUGUAUUUAAUUCUUGCACUCGAUCUUUGUUGGGGUUUAUAACCAACAUAUUAUCCACAUACAACAACAAAAUAUUAAAAUCAUCACUCUCAGACCUCUUGUAAUAUGUACAAUGAUCUAAAUUGAGCCUAUUAUACUCAAGACUUAAUAUGAAGGAAUCAAAUCUUUUGUACCAACAUCUCGGUACAUGUUUUAAACCGUAUAUAGAUUUGGUUAACCAUCAAACUAAGUUUUCUUUCCCAUUUUUUAUAAAACCUUACAGUUUGAGCAUAUAAAUUUCUUCUACAAGCUCUUCAUGGAGAAACACAGCUUUCACAUCUAAUUGCUCAAGGUGUAAAUCAAAUCUAACACGCAUGGUUAGGACUACUCGAAUUCAUGUAAGUUAAAGAACAAGAAAAAAAAUCACAUUAAAAUCAACACCUUCUUUCUUAGCAUAUAUUUUAACCACCAGUCUUGCACAAUAUUGUUCCACUUGGUCAUUGCUAUAACAUUUGAUUGUAUAGACCUACUUGUUUCCAAUAGCUUUCUUCUAGGUGGUAGUGACACAAGUUUCCAUGUUUAGUUCUUAUACAAAGUUUUAGCCUUAUUUUGCAUUGUUGUCAUCCAUAAAGAUGAAUCUAAACUUUUUAUGGCCUCUUAAUAAUUUGAAGGCUCUCCAUUUUUUAUAAGAAAACAACAUGUAACCUCAGUUAUGAUAACAAACUCUGAGUGCCAAAAAGGUUCUCUUCUUUCUUAGAUUGACCGUCGCACUUCAAGUAUCUCAGACUUAAUUGGUACUUGUUCAUUGUGCUAUGGAACUACUUUAGAAGAUUCCAGUUGUUUUUGUUCUAAUUGUUUGUUUCCAAUUAAACAUAUAGUAUUUAUUUUUUUUCAUGAAUGUGUUAUCUCCUUCUUCACUUUGUAGCAAGUCUUUUACAAAUAUUUCGUCUCUACUAAUGAUAACCUUGUAGGCAAUGGGAUUCCACAGGCGAUACCCAUUUACUCCAUCAGCAUACCCUAAGAAUAUGCAUCUUUUAGAUUUUAGAUCCAACUUUAUUCUUUCUUGGUCAUUAUACAUCACAUAAGCAACACGCCCAAAUAUGUGUAAGGAGGAAUAGUCUACUAGCUUACCAAUCCACAUCUCCAUAUGUGUCUUCAUCUUAAUUGUUGUUAAUGGAGACAUAUUCAUUAAAUAGCAUGCAAUUGUGGUUGCUUCAGCCCAAUAUAUUUUGGGUCAUCCUGCAGUAUUCAACAUAGCUCUCAUUCUUUCUGUAAAAGUUCUAUUGGUUUGUGUUGUUAUGUUAUUUUGUUGUGGAGUAUAAGAAAUAGUUUUUUAUCGUUGUAUGUCUUUUUUACUAUAAAAUGCAUCAAACUCCUAGCUAAAGAAUUCUCAUUCAUUGUUUGUCCUCAAAAAUUUAAUCUUCUUUCCCAUUUCUAAUUUCUUCUGCACUUUAAAGGUUUUGAAUAUUGGAAAAACAUUUGGCUUUCUCUUGAUGAGGUACACCUAACAUCUUUGGAAUAAUCAUCUAUAAACAACACCAGAUAGUUUGUGUCUCCAAAAGAUGUGACCAGUGAUUCCUAAACGUCAAAAUGAACCAAGUCUAUAAUGUCCUUACUUCUUAUAGUAGAUCUAUUGAAUCUUAAUUUAUGUUGCUUACUAAUAACAUAGUGCUCACAAAAUGGUAGACUUACAGUUUUGAGUCCAUGAAGCAACUUUUGAUCAGAGGGAAUUUUCAAUCUAUUUUCUAACAUGUUUGUGAUGUCACCUCAAUGGAAAUUCUUCUCCGAAGUUUCCAACAAAAGUUCUCACCUCUUGAUAUGUCUUCUCAUGUAGCAUGUAUAGAUUUGCAACAAUCUUCUCUACCUUUAUCACCACAAGUACACCUUUGAUAACCUUCAUGAUUCCACUUUUAACAAGGAAUUCAUACCCAAGGUCAUCCAAUUGUCCCAGAUAAUUCUUCUUUAAGCCCUUCACAUGUUGUACCUCUAAAAUAAUGCAAAUCACAUCAUCAUCCAUCUUCACUUUGAUGAAGUCAAUGCCAAUAAUCUCUAAGGCACAAUCAUUACCCAUGUACAUUGAUCCUCUUGAGAUAAGUUCACCAUUCUCUAUGAGAAGUCAUGUGUCAUGUUGCUAAUGAGUCAAUUAAACAAACUUCAACAAAUCUUUUUAUGUCUUUUGCAAUUGUUGUUGCCUCACUAUAUAAGAUUUCACAUUUAUUUGAAGUACUUGUUACACAACUCUAAGUAUUUGAUGACGCAAAUUCUUUCUCUUUCAUGUUUUUCUCUACCCCUCUUUAGUAGUGUCAACACUCCUUUUUUAUGUGUCCCUAUUUUCCACAGUGAUAACAUUUAACUUUCUUCUUAUCCUCCAACUUUGACCUAUUCUAUUUGUAACUCCCACUAGAACCACAUUUUGCUCAUCUUCCUCUAGAAAUAAUUAAAGCCUCAAUUUGCUGAGAAUAUGAUAUUUUAUCUUUCUUGUUUUUACGCCUACUUUCUUCCUCAAGUACAAUAGUCGCAACAUCAUUAAAGACUAGCAUUAUCUUUAAAGCACCAUUGGCGAAAUUUAUGAUGAGAUGAUCAUAUGAAUCAAGUAGACUUUGGAGUAUAAGUUCGACCCAUUCUUUCUCUUCUAUAUUAUACUCCAUAGUUGAUAAUUGAGAUAAUAGAGUUUUCAAGGUGUUCAUGUGUUCAGUCACCAAACUAGAUUCUAACAUCCGAAGAGUGUACAGUUUUCUUUUCAAGAAGAUUUUGUUAUGCAAUGACUUGGCUUCAUAUAAAUUUUUCAAAAUAUCCCAAAUUUUUUUUUUUGUUGAUAGUAAUUCUAAGAUGUUUGACAGUAUAUUAUCUAUUACUACUAAAUGCAAGUUUGAAACAGCAUCCUCACCCAUUUGCUCCCACUUUUUGUCUUCACCAUUUUCUAGCCUUUCACCAAUUGCUUGUAAUCAAUUUUCCUUCCUUAAGAUAAUUUUCAUUUUUAUUUUCCACAACCCAAAAUUGUUCCCAUUGAAUUUUUAUAUUUCAAAUUUCGCGGUCAUUUGUUUAACUUUUACGGUGAAUAGUAACCCAAAAUAGUAGUAAGUGUAUGUGUUAAAUACACUAGGAAAGUCCCUAUGAAAGUAGAGGGGUCACAAUGGUUCCACUUAAAACCCUUUUUCUUUAAGCUCUUAUAGCCCUUUUGAUAGAACUUUACUAGACUGCCUAUUGUCCUAAACCUAGGCUUUGAUACCAUUGUUAUGAAAUGAUACCCAUGGCAAUAAUUUGAAAAUAUAAUAAUAAAUAAAAAUAAUUGGAAAAAGUACUUAUAUGGUAAAACCUUCUUCAUAUGAGAGAAACCUUCAUGGGGCAAGAUCAAAAACUAUCCACUAUAUGAAAACAAAAUUACAACCUCUCUCUUAAUUAAGAGGAAAGAAUAUAACAACUUACAAAAUGAUGAAAGUCUUUUUUGGGGAUGAAUAGUAUAAAAGGUGGAGAUCUCCUUUUAUGGCAAAAGGAAGCUCCCAUAUUUUUGUCUUCUUCCGAUGUGGGAUGACUUCAACUUUAACAGGGUGCGGCACUAUACAAGAGGAUGCAAUGAAGGUGCAACACAAGUGGAUGCAGUAGGGAUGCAAGGAAGUCUCGGAUUGCAACACAAAUGUAGCAAAAAUAAGGAUUAAACCAAGAAUAAAUCAUCUUUGUUUGGGUUUUUUCUAUUUCUGAAAGCUACAAAAACAUGUUUUACAUCAAGAAUUACAUAAGCAACUUGGUGAUUAUCUCUCUUCUCUUUGUUGAGGUUAUCUUUAUUUGCACCUCCUCUCCAUCCUAAAACUCUCAAUGGCUUCAAUCAAACUCUAAAAGUCUCCAUUCUUUUAUUGUAGCAUUCCUCCUAUGAAACUGUCACUCUUUUCAUGUGAUUACAUACCAAUAUGAUAACAUCAACUAUAUGCACACUAAGUUCGUAUCAUUCAAAGCUAACAAAGAUUUGCUCUCAUGCAUUAUAGUGCUUUUAGGAUAGAUAAUCACGAAACUUCUAUAAAUCAAAUAUGAAAUCUUCAUGAUUCAUAAAACUUCUAUAUCAUCGAGUUAGGUCUCUUUUCUUUUUUCUUUUUUUUGAUAUUUUUUAGAGGAUUUUUGGGCCAAAAUCCAUCAAAUGGGCUACCUUUUAGUGUAAUUUUGGAUGAGUUUUGGUACAAUAAAGUGUGACAAAAAAUAUGCCCCAUCAAAAUCUAUAUGCCCCCUAAAUCUAGAAUUCAUAUUUAUGUGUUGGGUUUUAAAAAUAAAAAUAAAAAGGAUGAUGCCCUCCUAAAAAUAUUGAUAAUAAAAAAUUUAUUAGAAACUUAAAAAUAAAAUAAAAUCAUAAAUAAAAAUCAAUUUUUGGUUUGAAAAGAUAAAAACAUAAUGACUAAUUUUCAAUGAUUAAAAAAAAUUACCAAAUUUUGCAAGAAAUUUUAAUAUAAAUUACAAAACAUCUUCUUUAUCUACUUCUAGUUAGUUAACUUUCUAUUAAAAUUAGCAUAAAUUUCCUUUUAAAUUCAUAUAAAUUUUUAAUAUAAUAUAUUUUAUUUGAAAGAGUUUUGAAAUUUUGUUUUAAAAAAAUUGUUUGAUAAUCUUUCCUUGAUACUUUCUUAGGUGCAAACUCUAUGAGAUCCUAAGGCUACUCUAGAUAUAUCCUAAUGUUAAAUAUUUUGUUUAUUUAGAAUCUUUAUCUAAUCAUGGAUUUAAUUUAGUAAGUUGAAUAGUCUUAAAAUUUUGUUAUAAAAUUUACCAACUUUUUAUAAAAUAUGAAAGUAUGCUCACAUUUAUUUAAUUCAAAAUCUUGCAAUUUAAAUAGUCCCCCUAAUAUAAAUUUUUUGGCUCUGCCACGCGUUACAUGUUAUGAAUAUACUUGGCAUGUACGAUGAUCAGAUGCAUUUGCUUGUGACCUUCAGAUGUAAGUCACCAUCUGUAAGAUUGUCCUCGGUAUCCUUGUGGUCUGUGUAAACUUGGUACCCUCUCUCUCCCCCUCCACCACUCCACCGCCGGGCCCUGUCCCUCUCUCUCUCUCUCUCUCUCUCUCUCUCUCUCUCUAACAAUGAUGGAGGCAAUAUGUAUCUCUCCACAAACAUUUCGUGACUUUUGUCCUACGAAACCCCACAUGUAUCUCUCCCUCACAAGCCAAAACAACUCGUUCUAAUAAUGAUAUCGGUAGUAUGUAUCUACCCAAAAACAUUUCAUAACUUUUAUCCUACUUUUAUCCUACGAAACCCCAUAUCCAUCUCUCCCUCAAAAGUCAAGACAACUCUUUCCCUAAUAAUGAUAUCGGUAGUAUGUAUCUCUCCAAAAACUUUUCAUAACUUUUGGCCAACCAAACCCCACAUGGAUCUCUCCCUCAAAAGUCAGAACAACCAGUCUCCAUUCAACCCAUUGCCAGGGUUUUCUCUCUACCUCUGUAUGUCUCUUCUCCGUUAUUCCAGACCUUUCAACAACUCUGUUUGUCUCUAUCCUUUCAUUCCAAAAUGGUAUAUCAUUCUUUCGUUAAAUGUCACCAAAAUGAAGAUCACCAUGUCUUUCAUGUUCACAAGAAAUGAGAUUGCUGCUACCAAAAUUCAAACACCAACUAGAGAGGAUUUUUAAUUAAUGGCCAAUCGUGUGACAGACCACAACCCUUUUGAGACUUUUUUGGGACCUUAGAGGACUGGAAAUUGGAAAGAAGAAAGGGGGGAGAAAGAGAGGAGGAAUUGUCUCUUUGACGGGUCCCAAACCAUUUUUAGUGUCGUUUGAAAUGGGGUUUGGAACAGUAAAGUAUUAUAUAUGAAAUGUCUAAACGUGUGUUCUAAUUCCUUACAAAAAGGGUUUCGUAAAUGAUACAAAUUCUGUUGUUUUACACUUGCACGUAAUUAUUAAGAUUGACAACCACCUCCACCUACAAGAACUAGACCUUGGUCUUCUUGUGGUAUCGCUUUCCUGAAGUGGGUAAGAUGUCAUUGUAAUGGAGAUUUUGACUUCCCUUCCACUCCCAAUCAAAAUAUUUCCCUUUGUAUUAAUACACAUUUUCAUGGACCCUAAUUAAAUUUUAAAAUGUCAAUAAAUAAAAAUAAAAAAUAAAAAAUUAUUUACAUUUUUAUCUAUUCUCAAAUGAAAAUUAGGAUUAACAGAUUAAAAAUGAUGAAAACGUCUCAAAUUUGUAAAACUAAUCUCUCCCAUUUUUUAAUUCGAAGAAUAACCCAUUUUCAAUAUAAAUACUCUUUAACAUUUUCGUUAUUCACAUAUAUAUUUAGAAAGAAAAAAAACGAUUACUUUGUAAAUAAAAAGAUGGGAACAUUUUUAUCAAAAAUUGAUAUAUUUUAAGUUAAAAAUAUAUGAAGGAUUAAUUGUUCAAAAUGGGGAAGAUUUUAUCCCUUAUCCUAAAAAUGAUCAUAGUAUUGUCUUAUAUAAGAAACUCUAUUUAAAAAGCAAAAACAAACAAACAAAGAAUAGUCUCCCAUGUAUCCAUUAUUUUAGUUAGGGUCCUGUAGUCAUUGAAUGAGAAAUAAAGACAGGCCAACCACACUUCAGCCACAUAGCAUGACUGUCCUUCCCAAAUUAAACACUUCUCCUCUCUCUCUCUCUCUCUCUCUCUCUCUCAAGAGAGUACCAUCAACUAUUUACUAGGGUUUUUCGAUGUUUAAUUGCAAAACAAACAUGGAUUACCCCAAGAGCUCCAUUGGGAACUUUGCCAUUGCUCUACUCCUUACUGGGCUUGUCUCUCUCUACCUCCCCUCUCCAUUCCCCACCUUCCAAUGGCCCCAAUCACCCACUGUAAGUCUCCACUAAUUCUCCAUUAGGGUUUCCCUCAUUUGAUAUCAAAAUCCAAAAAAUUAAAAGAUCAUCAUUAUUUUAUGUUACACCAAUUUCCUUCUCUUUUUUUUUUUCUUACAGAAGGCUCUCGAGGUGGUGCCUCAAGAUGAUCUCGAAGCAGCGUUGAGCAAAGCAUCAAUGCCCAACAAGACUGUAAUAAUCACAAUAGUGAACAAAGCCUAUGUCGAAGGCGACGACACAUCGAUGCUGGAUCUUUUUCUGGAGAGCUUCUGGAUCGGAGAAGGUACAAGGGAGAUGGCGGACCACCUGUUGGUGGUAGCGUUGGACCAGACGGCGUUCGACCGCUGCAUUUUCCGGCGACUCCACUGCUACAAAAUGGUGAGCGAGGACGGAGAUAUGGAUGGAGAGAAGCUUUACAUGUCGAAGGACUUCAUCAAAAUGAUGUGGAGAAGGACUCUCCUUCUCCUUCGUGUGCUCGAUCGUGGCUACAGUUUCAUCUUCACGGUACGUACUGUUACUAAACGACACCGUUUUGGUCCCCUACCUAUGUGUUUAAUUUGACUAAUUUUUUGGAGUUAGGGUUUUGUUUGGCAUUUAGUUAGGUUAAUUAAAUGUAAAUAUUAAAAAUGGAGCGUUUUGAUUGACAACCGACAACAGCCGCGUUAACCAAACAGACCAUAUCCCUUUUUUUUUUGUUUCCUUUUUUUAAAUUUUUUAAAUAUUUCAAAACAAAAUAUAAUUUAUUUUUAUGAGGCAUAAUUUUUAUUUUAUAUGUGUUAAAGGAUGGGAUUUAUUUAAUUAUACAUGUAAUUUUUUUGAGGAAAAAAUUAAAUCAUCCUAUAAGAAAAAAAAAAUAGAAUUUUCUUUUAUUAUUAUAAAUUGAUAUUUUCUAAUAUCAAAUAUUAUAAUUGCUCAUAAAAAAUAAAUAAUAAAUUAAAAUUUAAUGAAGUUAAUGUUCUUGUUUGGAUAAAUAUUAAAAUAUUAAAAUGUGAACUUAAAAUGAAAAUAAAAAAUAAGAAAUUGAAACCACAUAGAAAAAAUAGAAUUGAUAUAAUAAAAUCAUAAGAAAUGUGUUUAUAUCCUUAUCCUUAAUUUUUUUAUUUAAAAAAAAAAAAAGAGGCAUCAUAUGAAAUAGAUAAUCAUUAUAAUUGUUUAAUAGAGAUAUUUGGUUAAGAGACCUAAAAUAGUUUUAAAAUUAGAAAAAUAACAUCCUUUUGUCCUUUUUUUAAUAAAUAAAUAAAUAAACUAACCUAUUUUGACAUUUUUUUUCUUAAGAUUUUUGUUGUUUUGCUUUUUGUUAGAGAUUUUUAUUGGAAUUUUGGUUUGAAUUUAUUGCAAUUGUUUUUUAUUAGGAUUGGGCUUUUAUUGGGUUUUGAAAAUGAGAUGAAAUAAAUGAAUAUUUUAAUUAAGAUUUGUAGAUAAAAGGAAAACUUAAUCUAAAAUAAUCCAAAAUUUCAUAAAUACCAAAUUAUGGCUUUCAUUGCAAAUAAUAAUAAUAAAGUCAAUUUCAUAUUGAUUAAAUUUGGGCCCAUAUAGGAAUGGCAACUGGGCGGGUUCAGGACGGGUCGCCCCCAUCCCAACCCCAUCCCGUUUAUUAAAACUAAUUCCCAUCCCCGUUCCGUUUAAAAAAUUAAAUGAGGCGAGGCGGGUAUGGGAAAUUCCCAAACCCGCCCCGCCCUGCCCUGUUUAGCCUCCUUUUUAAAAAAAAAAAAAAUUAAAAAAUUAAAAAAUUUACUUUUAAAAUUUUUAAUUACAUUAAAAUAAAUAUAUUUAUAAAUAAUAAAAUUAUUAUAUUUUUUAUAACUUAUUUUAUUAAUUUUUUUAUUAUUAUCUAUAUAUUAAAAAUAAUAAAAUAAAAUUAAUUUUAAAUUUUAAAUUAAAUUAAAUUUUAAAAUUGAUUUUAUAUGUAAACGGGGCGGGGCGGGGCGGGGAGGGGCGGGGUGAUACCCGAACCCGCCCCCGGUUUAAAAAAAAAAUCUCAUACCCGUUAAAAACCCGUUUAUUAAAUUUCAACCCCGUCCCAUUAGGGGCGGGGCGGGUACCCGAAAAAACCCGCCCCGUUGCCAUCCCUAGGCCCAUAUGGACCAACCGACCCAAUCCAAUUUUUAGCCUUCGACAAUCAUUUUUAAUAUUAAAGUUAAGGUUAAACUUGAUUUAAAUUUUUUAACAGACACUCAAUUUGAGCAAAUUAAAUUUUAUAACAUUUAUAACUUAUAUUAUUAUAUAUAAUAACAUUUAUUUUUUUCUUUUUAGAUUUUUAAUAAAAAAAUGUCAAAUUAUUAUUAUAUUUUUUCUAAAGAGAUAUAAACUUAUUUUUACUUUUUUAUAUUAUCUCAAAAUUUUGUCUCAUUUACUAUUUAAAUUUUGUUGUAAGAUAGUACUGGUAGUUGAACUCGGAUUGAUUGUUUUCUCCUUAAUGACUCGUAUUGCUUUGAAACUCGAGUCGAGGAGCCCAACAUGAAAUGGAUAGAAUUGUUUUCUUAGAUCAAUUUCUACUAAAAUUUUAACAUUUUUCAGCAACAAUUAAAGCUAAUAAUAAUGAUAAUGUUGCUUUAACACAGGACACGGAUGUAAGUUGGCUGAGGAACCCAUUUCCAAGGUUAACCACAAACCUAACAGCAGAUCUCCAAAUCAGCACCGACCUGUUCCUCAGCAGCCGCCGGCCGGAAGACAACCUCAUCAACACCGGAUUCUACUUCGUCCGAUCAAACAACAAGACCAUUGCCCUCUUUCAAACCUGGUAUGCCAUGAAGAACAACGCCACAGGGAAGAAAGAACAAGAUGUACUAUCAGACCUUAUGCGGAAGGGCAUUUUUAGGGAGCUGGGUCUUGAACUAAGGGUCCUUCACACCCUUUACUUCAGUGGGUUUUGCCAAAAUAGCAAAGACUUUAGGGCAGUCACUACUGUCCAUGCUAACUGCUGCAGAAGUAUUAGCGCCAAGGUGGCUGAUCUCAAGGCCGUCCACCGUGACUGGAGGCAGUUCAAGGCGGCCACCGCCACCAACAAGACAGUGACCGACAUUGAUGCCACGACUUUCCGGUGGUCUGUUCAUGAAGCAUGUGUCCGUUCCUGGAAUACUUCCAGGAAUCCUGUAGGAUGAAUUUUGCUUGGAACAACAUAAUACAUAGAUGGACAGAAGGCACAUAAUUUAGUUUGAUAUAGGUCCAGUUGUUCUCCUCAUAGUUCUGAACUUCUAGGGUUUCCCUCUUCAUAUUUUAUCAUGCAAAGCUUAAAACAAUGUAAAGAGAAUUAUUUAUAUUUGAAUAAAGAAAUAAAUUUUUAAAUCCCCUUCACAAAGAAAUAAUUUAUUAUUUUUUUAAUCUGAUUACUUAUUAAAAAAAUUUCAUUUUUAAAACAAUUUCAUAUAAAAAAAUUUAUCUGUUUAAAAACUUGAAAUAUUCUUUAACAUUUUUCUUUAUUUUCAUUUUUUUUUUUAAAUAUUUUUUACAUAUAAUAUUUAUUUUUAAUUAUUUUUUAUAUUUAUAUAAUUAUUUAAAAAAAAAAUGUUAAACACUACUUUUUUAAAACUGUUUUUGAUAAUAAAAGUUGGGAUGGAUUAAAAAGAAUAAUGAUAUAAAUGUAAAAUGAAUGGUAAAAUGAUUGGAUGGGAAUUAUUCACAUUUUAUUUCUAUUUAUUAUAAUGUCUUUGUUUGGUUCUCAAAAUAUAAGAAAAAGAAAAUAAAAAAAUAUAGUAGAAAAAAAAAAAUUAAAAAUUAAUAAAUGAUUUUUACUCACUACUUUAAAUUCUUUAUACUUAUUUUAACUCAUUAAUUCAAAAAAUAAAUAAUUUAAAAAUGAAUAAAACAACUAAAGAUAAGAAACCAUUUUGUGUAGGUUAUGUUUAAUUCCUGAAAGUUAAAAGGAAAAUACAAAAGAAAAAAACUUAAAAAUAUAUAUAAUAAAAUAAAAAAUAGAUUUAAUAUCAAUAAAUUAUUUCAUAUAUCACAUCAUAUUUUAUUUAUUUAUUUAGCUCCUCUACAUAAAGAUUAAAUAAUUUAAAAAUAUACAAAUUUCUUUAUAAUCGACUUUCUUUCAUAGCAAAUUCCUUAGCAUUUUUUUUUUUUUCUUUUCUUAGCAUUUUCCGGGAACCAACCAACCGAUAUGACCAUGAAAAUAGCACCCCAAACACAUGGAAACAAAGGAGGUGAAAGAAAUCAAUAUUUGUACUUAAUAAAAAUUUUAUUUUCUCAAUUUCAAUCAUCAGAGUUACAAUAUGAAUACAAGUUGGAAUUGUUUACAAAGACUGAAGGGCAAAGCAAGUGGACAUUAGAAUAAAAGCAUAAAAGCCACCAAACCAACUUUCUGCGCAUUGACCUUCAUGGAUACAAAUAGAGAAUCAAGUAUAUAAAUUUCAUAUUCCCUUAGCAUUGGCUACCACACAACAUGCGUAAAAAUUGACCAAUCGACAGGUUUUGCACAGGCGAGCCCAUCCAGCAAUAUAUUUAGAGAAUCUUAUUUGCCUAUUGAAAAAAGAAUACAAGAGAAACAGACAAACUACAUCCAUAUUUUGAAAGACAUAGGGCAACAAUGACACCUUCUGAAAGUGACUACAAAAUGACCAGCUUCGGCAUCAAUGCUCUUCCAAAUUUCAUUGAGACCCACCAAAAUUUGUUUCCCAAGAAAAAGAAAUAAAAAACGAUAAUAAUAACAUGUAGACAUUUUAAAAGAAUUAAGAAAAAAUACAAACUACCUAUAAAUAUUUGGGCUAAAUAUGCUUGACGACUGACUCCACUACAUAAUCACUAGGUGAAGCAAGCUUCACAUCCCGUAAACCUUCGAAUAAAAAGGAUUCUGCUUGCAUCAAAUGAUAAACCAACUCAGAAUCCUUCCCAUAGUAAGCUAAUGCUGCAAAAAAUAAUAAGCUAGAUCCUUCAGUCCCCUGGAAGGAGCUGCUUACAAGUUACACCAAGUCAUAUCAGAAGCAAAAUCAUACCACAGGUGAAGGGAACUUCAAUUCAAUGUAAUGAACUACAUCACAUGGAAAAUGCUCCUAGCAAACUAUGCCCUAGAAAGACUAUUGCCACCCACCAAGUUUUUCAACUCUCACCUUCCCAGUCAUCUCCCAUUAAUUAGAACUUCCUGCGGUACUUUUUUAUUCCAAACUUUUUGGUACGGAAAUUUUAUCACAAAUUGCCCCAAGCUUCUUUAAAUCUGCUUGGAAAUUUCAUAAAGAACAAGUAAUGUGCCACCAAGGUAUCAUCAUAUCAUGUAUAUACUUGUAAAGGUAAACUAAAAACUAGCUUGCAAUGAAUAAAAUGGUAUGCUACAUUCCUCGUACAAAUAACAGUGCUACUUUACAGUUUCUGCCGCUUCUCUAUUAUGGGACAUCUCUUUAGAGAGUAAUAACAGGUUUUCCAGUAUCACAUGAGGAACCAGGGGGUAAAAAGAGAAGAAAAAGAAAAAAAAUGACAACCAAUCAGCAAGCAGCAGCGAGCAAGCAACCAAUGACACAAUCAGACCAUCAUAGUUAUGAAUGGAACUCAAGCAGUCUAUGAAAUAGGAUGAACUUCAACCCAACAGACAUCAGGUAGAAUUGGCACCUAAAGUAAUGCAGAAGUACAAUCCCUAUUGAUUCACUUGGGUAAAUAAAGGAGAAGCUAACUAGGAUCAAACACAUCUCAGGUGUAAAUGUGGAAUGUAAAUGUCAUGACAUCUGAAAAAACUGCCUUUCAUUUCAUUUACACAAAAAACCAUCCAAUUGUUUUGCCAAAUUUACUCCAACUUCAUUAGCUACACUGAAAUUGCAUUCACUAAUGAGAGCUUAUUUUCUCAAUAAAGGUGUCGGCCCAACAAAUUGAAAAUGCAAUUACUUCUCAACUUCAUCCUCCCUUUGCAUCUUACCUAUCAGCAACAAAAGGCAAUCAGGAUGGGAUAAUGGUGCAAGUAGAUGCCUUCAUGCUUACCUAUCCCUGGUCGUGCAGCAUGAAUUUCAUUCUCAGCAAGCUCAUUAAUGCCCUCCUCAAGAUUUCCUUAUAUUGCACCAUGCAGAAAAUGCACUUCAAGUAUGCACAUUCUUAGGAAAAGAAGACUUUUGGCAUUCACCAGUUCUGAUCCAGAAUCCAGAACUCAAUAGCAACAAAAACUUUUACUGGGAACAAAUUUUGGGCUGAAUACAUCAUAACCAACAAAAGAAAAGGUCCCACCAUCUUUUUUUGAUACUCAUGAAGCCUUAAGUCUGGAGUAAAGAUAUAUAUAUACUUAACACUAACUUGAGUUAAGAUUAAAUAUGCAAGGCCAAGUUCAACAUAGAAAAAGACACUUUGUCCAAUGAAGUGUUAGAUCAGAAUUCUAUUCUGGCUGACCUACUUUGAUAUUUGUUGAAGGUUUGUCACACUGGAAAUAGCAUUUGAUCCAACACUGAUUCAACCUUGAAUUCUGAACUAAAACUUAUCCAAUGAAUUCAGCAUAACACAAACCAGGAAUCCUUUUAACCAAUUUUGGGUACACCUGAAGCUCUAACAAUAUAUUUGUCCAUUGAAAUGAGGAAUACCUUCUCAUUCUCCACCCAGUAAGUUCUUAUAUAGAAUAAAAAGGUGCAAUUCAUACAAUACCACAUACUAAAGCACUUUUUGGUUUCUGCACCAAAACCCAAGAUUCCUUACAAUAUGAAAUAAGACUGGCUGAGAGAACCCCAUCUGCAAUCUAAGAUGAGCCAAAGCAAUAACAGCCCAUUGACCAUAAAACUAAAGCGCGUUCUCUCAACUGAUAAAUUGAGGCUGUUUAUGCUUGGUAACAUGCUUUCCUUCCAAAACUUUAGGGUCACAGUGAAUAAGCUUCAAAUAGUCCACAUCCUACAGCAGCCUCUGUCAUGUCAAAAAUCUGUGCCAUAGACAAAUUCAUGUGUGACCACAUUGCUCCAUAUUCGCCAAUCACAACUCUUAGGAGAAAGAGAGACAUGCCAAGCUUUCUGGCAACAAGACUCUUCAAUGGAGAUGAACUAGGCACAAAAAUUAUUCACGUAUCUCAUGCACUUUAAAUGAUUAUAAAACAACAGUUUGACUUACCUCAAUAGUAUGAUCCAGAACCACCACUACCCAUGUAACUGCUGCCACCAACACCACGACUGGAAUAAAGAGAUGAGUAAGAGCUACCACCAACCUGCAAUACAAGCAGCAAAUAAACAUAUAUGAGACAGUGCAGAAAUCAAUGGUCAAGAACCCUUUUGCCACAACUGGAGGAGCUUAAGAGCAUACAUCUGCUCCACGAGGCAUGUAAUCACUGCCAUAACUGGAUGAGUACAUCCCUCCAACAUCACUACCACCAAAAGAACCUGAAAGCCAUAAAAACAAAGCAUAAGACCACUUAGCCAUUGGCAAAAAUUUGAGCAUUUUAAGUUUGCAGCACUGACACACCUCCUCCAUAGCCCAUACCCUGACGACUGCUAUAAAGACCAUGUGAAUCCUGACUGGACAUAGAACUUCGGCUGCCCCCAUAUCCCAGAUUAGAUCUUCCAAGUCUAACCACCAUAAAAAUAAAAAAUAAAAAAAUAAAAACGGGUGAGCCACAGCAGUUGCACUGGAAUCAAAAGGACAGGAUCUUACAACAAUUGUUUAGAGUUGCAACAAAUGUUACCUAUCACCAUAAGCAUCUCCAUAUUGAGAAGCACCAGCACUCAUUUCAUAGUCCAAACGAGCCCUUGAUUGCCGGACACUUGCAUCAGCAUAACGAGGGGGAACAUCAUCCUUGAAACAUGUAACCACAAGAAACUUAGAACUUACUAAAAUUUGGCCAAACAUGGAAAGAGGCAAAACAUAAAGUUGAUGGCAACUGGUAGAUGCCACUGAUAAUUACUAACCAGUGCACCAUAUGGCCGUUUUGAACCUGCAAUAGAGUCGUAAUCACGGGGACGUCCCUCACGGUAACUUGGGGGAGGAGGCCUCUCAAACCUUUGCCCAUAAGCAUCAUCUUCGUAAGUUCUCCUUGCUGCAGUCCGAGAUGUAUUUCUUGGAAUAUCAGAGUAUCCAGAUCCUCGGGUAGCAUAGUCAUCUCUAUAUGAUGGGCGUCUCUCUGGGGCAACUCUAGAACCAUAGUCUACAGCAGGUCUACUCCUCAAAGGAACCUCCUCACGCCGCCCAUAAUCCCUCUUCAAGUUCGGCUUAGGGUAAGCAGGAACUGAAAAACAAAGGCAAUGUAUAAACGCUCAACGACAUUGUAAUUUUUAUUUUUAUGUUGAAACAUUCAGUUCAACAAUAAGACCGGUAAAACACAUUGGAAAUUUGAUACAUACCAGGUGCUCUCCUGUCAUAGGACCUUGAUGGAGGAGGCAAGGGCCUGCCUCUUGGAGGCAUGGCCAUAACUGGGCGUCUAUCCCUAAAUCCAAUUGGCCUCUUUACAGCAGCUGGUGGGAGACGAGGCCCUAAACCUCUUGCCCCACGCCCAGGAAAGCUACGUAGCGCUGGCCGAGCCCAGGAACCCCUGACACCUCGUACAGGCCCACCACGGCCAGGUCGGAAGUCUCCUCGAGAAAUGUGUUUCCCUUUACCUCUCUGAAGUGGUCUUGACAGCCUAGCCCUCACUUUAGCCUGAAAUGUAAUUACAACUGGUAAAGAAAAGUCAUCUGCAAUUGAUGCCCCAAUCCAAAGGCACCUUAAGAAAAAAUGCUGCAAGCAUCAAAAGCUGAUAGCAAGUCAAACCUUGUUUUCUCCUUCCCCCAACUCUGCAUUGUUGAUGCUUUUAGCACAUGUAACUGCAGCAUCAUGAGUGUCAAAAGUGACAAAACCAAAAUCCUUUCUCUUGGCAGAUGGCAUGUUCCGUGCAAGCUCAAUCUUUUCAAUCUCCCCAUAUUUCUUGAGAAGCUCCCGAACACGAUCCUCAUCCCAUGAAGCAGGAAGACCAUCAAUGAAAACUGUUUUAACCUGAACUUAUAAAAAUGUGAUCAGCAGACCAUCUAAACUUAGUAAGCAAAUUAGGUCAAAAGGGCAUGGUUAAUCCCAUUAACUGUGCAGCAUGUAGGCUCAAACAGAAAUCUUUACAUAUAAACAGAAAUCUUUACAUAUAAACAGAAACCAUAGUUUCUACAUAUUUUUAUCAUGAAAACCUAUGUAAGAAAUUUAAACAUGCAAAGAGCACCCAAAAAUAAUGAGAGACUCAAAUACACAUGGAAUGACCAUAAUAGAUUUAAAAACACAAAUUUGAAGUGCUCUAAUACAGUAGCCUUUUCCUAUCCUCCAUGAAAAUAAAAAUAAAAAAGAAUGGAAGGAAAAAUACACAAACCCUCAACCAGUAGGCAUUACAAGUAUCAUAGAAACUAAGCCACAUCUGAUAAAAAGUAGCAAGAACAUAAUAGAUCUAACCCAUCUGAAAAUUAUGACAACCUUAAAUGAGUGCAUUAAGUUUGAUUAAAAAUAUUUACCUGUGCCAUGAUUUCAUCACCAGGGUCAAUGAAGGAAUCUGCAAAUGAAACCUUUGCAGUCCUAUCUACACCAAACACAACAUCUCUCUUCUGGAGACGCUUAAAAGCGUCCAUGGCAUCAGAACGGGAAGAGAACUCCAAGAAAGCAAAACCCCGAUUCAUUCCCUCAUUGUUACUAUCUUCAACCAAUGUCAAAUCCUCAACAUUCUCUACUCCAUAAUGUUUUAACUUCUCUUUCAACUGGAAUGGCAUUCAAUUUUAAACGGUAAGGAAAAUAGAAAUUCCUGAUAACCACUAAUAAAGAUGGUUUGAUGCUAGAUGGUGACAUUAAAUACUCCAAUAUACUUACAGCUUCCUUGGUCCAUGUCUUGCAUAUAUUACCCAGAAAAAGGGUGUCGCUGUCUUGACUUGGAGUGACACCACACUGUUUCCCAUUAACCUGGAAUCGUGGGUUUCAAGAGAACUUAAUUUAAUACAUAAAGUUAGAUUAUUUGUCAUUCAAACUAUGACAAGGUCGAGAAUAUACCACUGGAUUUUUUAGCUCUGUGACAGCACGUUUCGCCUGUUCAACAGUUGCAAAACGCAAAAAAGCAAACCCCUUGUUCUUCUUUGUCUGAGGAUUCAUCAUCAGUCUGACUUCAGUAACCUCACCAACUUGACUGAAAACCUUCCUUAGAUCAUCCUCAGUUGCAUCUUUGUCUAGACCCCCAACAAAUACUUCAAACUCCUUCCGCUUACGCCUCUCCUUAAAAACUUCAUGGUGCUCUUCAUCCUCUGCAUCAACCAUCUCUGCAUGCUCCUGCAAUUCACCAGCAUGUUCAUCAUCCUCUUCACCCUCAAGUUCUUCAGGAACAUCUUCCAUUCCUUCUUCACCUACAUCACCAUCUUCCUCCUCACCAACAUCCCCCUCCUCAUUUUCCUCCUCCACUUCAUCUCCCCCAUCAGGAAUGUCCUCUUGUUCGAUUUCCUUCUCAUCAUAAUCAACCCCACCAUAUUCUUCAGUUUCAUAUUCAGGUUCAUUAUCUUCCAGAUCCAGCCGCUCAUCUUUUUCAUAUUCAUUUUUCUCAUAUUCGUCAACAGACUCCUUUAUCUCAUCUUCCUCUGUCAUAUGAAGAAAGCGGGUAGAAAAACCAAUCCAGUCAACAGACAUUGAAAUUCCUCAUUAUCCUCAAUUGAACUUUAGAUGCAAUUGAAUAACAAAAAAUCUACUGACAGUCCUUAUACUCCAAAGUAUGUGAAUUAUCACCCACUCAACGAUACACAACCAUAUAAACAAGUGCACGGAUGAAAGAUAAAAACAAGUUUAACCCAUCCAACUAGAAAAAUUCACGAAGUUUGAAGAUUUUAAUCAUAUUCAUUGAUUCAUCUAAACUUCAGAAAAAUAAUUCAAAUUUCCUGCUUAAAUGAGUAAACUUCAUCAAAUGACUAACAAUUAUUUGAAAUGAUUAUGAGUUGACGAUAUAAUCAACAGCCUCUACAAAAUGUCAAAAUCAGAUAUGUGUGCUUGCAAAUUCACAACACAAAACCAUGAAUUCAAUAUGUCAAGGAAGUCAUAUUCCCCAUGUUGUUGACAGCUGAAUUCUUUUUAAAAGUAACUAAAAAAGAGACACAGUUUAGGAGGCACUAAAAAGGAUUCAUUUGAGUUUAUAACCGAUGUCUUUGUUUUUCUAAGCUUCAAACAUUGCUUAAAAAAUUGAAUUGACAAGCAAUAAACGUAAGACAGAUUUUCCUAACUCUCAUUAUCAUACUAAAAAAGAAGCAAUUGUUCAACAGCAUUUUUCAAUAAAUAAUUGGUGGUGGUGGUCACAUGGAAUUGAGCAUGAACCCUAAACUCUUGCCAGGCCUCACGGGCAGCAAUCUUCCACCAUUUAACCCCCCAAACUUGUUGCUUAUUUUCCUUUUCAGAUAAGAGAAUCAAAAUACUUUUUUUUCCCCAAAACCCAUGAAGAAAUACACAAUUUUCAACACUUCCAACUAUGACAGUAACCACCAGGAAAUAUAUAUAUAUAAUCUUCCCCCCAAAAUUAUUAAGAAAUAUACAAUCUUUCGACAAUUUCAAGCACAGCAUACAAAGUAUAGUUUUCCCAAAACCUAACUAGAGAUACAAAAUUAUUUUAGCAAUUCAAAGAACCAAAACAUGCAAGCGUAUAUUAGGAACAACACCAUUAAACAAUUAAAACCAAACAUAAUACCGAAUCUCAUUAGAUCCGAAGCAAAUCCCAACACAAACAAAGAGCAAAGCAAGAAAACUUACUCUUCACGGGAGACAAUCUAUUUGUAUUCGAUUCCUGUUCAGGUUCGGCCUUCGAUUCCGGUUCCGGUUCAGGUUCCGGCUCAGGUUCAGGUUCCGGCACCGGCUCAGGUUCUGGAGCCUUUUCUACGACCUUUACUUCAACAGCCUCCGCAACCUUAACUUCUUCCUUGACCUCAACAACAGGAACCGAAACUUCCUCUGCUUUGACCGGCUCUACCGAGGCUUCUGGCUGGGGUUGGACCUUAGGAGUCCCCCUUGUGGCUCUCGGCGUCCGCUUCGUGGCCGCCGCGGUUUUCUUUACCGCUCUGGGAGGCAUACUGCAGAGAUUUUUCAGAUCGAAGGCACAAAAGCUCAAGACUUGUAAUAAAAACCCUAAUAGGAAGGAUCGAAACCCUAUAAAAGAUUUCGAAAAAGUGAUAGAAUUUUCCAAGAAAGGGCGAACAGCACAGAGGAAAACCCUAGCAGAGGGUCCAGAAAGUGAGGGUAAAUUGCCAGGAAAAACUAUGAGAUAAGAGAGAAAACCCUAGGGACCAAAAGAUUCGAUCGAAUUCGAAGACCUGUGGGCAGGCGGUCAAUAUUAUUAAGCGGUGGAGGACGCGCUGGGUGUUUCACUCGGAUGGGAAAUAUACAAUGAGUAUAAGUUCUGCCACGUGGAAACUUCUUAGUGGUUCUGAUCUUUUAUUUGGGAUGGAUUUAUGGUAAAAUUUGUUAAUGAUUUCAACACCGUUUGCAUAAACAUAGGAUCUGAGAUCAUUUUCAAGCCAUUAUUUUUCUUUUUAUAUGAAUAUUAACUACUUGAAAAAUCACCCUAAGAUAUGUUUGGGGAAAAUUUUGAAAAGGGAAAAAAUAUAUUUUAUUUAUUGUAAAUUUAUCAUCUUACAUUUUUUGUAUUUUAUGGAAGAAUUUACUUAAUAUUCUUUUGACCGAGUUUUUAACCAAAAUAAUUCAUCAAAAAUUUCAUAAAAUAAGAUCAAAAACAAUUUUAAAAAAUAAUUUUUUAAAACACGUUUUGAAAACUGAUCUUUAAUUUUUAUAAAACAAAAGCGUGUUUAAACUUAAAAAUUUUAACCUAUUUUUAAUAUUUUAUUUUUAUACAAUACUUUGUUUUCUAUUCUUAAUAAUAUAAAAUAAAAAACAUUUUUUGGUUGUUAACGUGUUUUAUAAACUCCAUGUUCAUAUCAUUCGCAUUACCCGACCAUUAAACUCCAUGAAUUUCCACUAUCAUAUUCAACCACAAAAGCUUUCAUAUGCACCAUUUCUCCAUUUGAAAAUUCAGCCACCAAAUUCCAUUAUUUAUUUCAUAAAAAGUUUAGUGACAAAGUUCUCCACAUGCACGACUACCAAACUCUAUUUCCAUUUUAAAUUUUCAACCAUAAACGCUUCAUUUCUCCAUUUCAAAUUCAAUCAUCAAGCUACUUUACAUAGACCCUCCAUUUUGUCUCCUUCGCACAUGUCAUAUUAGGUGUUCUUUUAGUACUUUACAACAGUUCCCUAAUGGCCCAUUGCUACUCGUACAACUUACUUUUUUAAGUCACCUUAGAAAUUAUGGUUAAAGGAUUUAUCUGAUCCCUUAUUGUAAUCCUUGGCAACCCCAAGUUAGAUCUAGGAUUUUCUUUUUAGGUACAUUUUGAGGACACUUAGACACUUUUUUGCACACUCUAGGACACUUAAGCACAUUUCUGAUCAUCUUAAAAUACUUAGGGUCUGUUUGGUUGUUGUUUUUGAAAACUGUUUUGGAAAAUAAUUUUUUUGAAUAGUUUUUAAAAACAGUUUUUUGUGUUUUUAGAAAAUAUAUAUAUAUAUAUAUUUGGGAACUGAAUUCUUUAAAAUGAUUUUUGUUCUCAAAAACAAAAACAAAAAUAUGUUUGGUUAAAUUAAUAAAAAAAAAAGUUUUUUAGAAUAAGUAAAACAAAAAAAAAAACAUAUUUGAAAGUUUUUUUUUAUUAAUAAAGUGUUUUCUUUCAUUAACUUGAUAUUAUAAAUAUAUAAAUAAUUUUCAUAUGCACAAUUUAUUUAAAUUAAAAAAAAUUAUUUCAUUUUGAAAUUUUUAUACCAGUUAUAAUUUUCUUAAACAAAUGAUGAUUUUGUAACCGUGUGUAAGUAUAUUAAUUUCAAUAAUUUAAUGAAGAAGAAAUGACUUGUAGGUGGGGGUGUGGUAGUUCGAUGGAGCUCACCUUUGUGGAAACAUAAAAAGCAGCUAGGAAAACAUAAAAAGAAGGAAGAAAAAGCACGAAAAACAAUUUAUGCUUUUAAUAGUGAAAAAACAAUGAAAACAUCUUUUUAUUGUUCUCAAAAAAAUGAUUUUUGAGAACACGGAAAACACAAAAAACAAAAACUUACCCCCUUCCCCAAACAAGUUUUUUGUGUUUUUUGUUUUGAAGAAUAGAAAACAAUUCUUGAAAACAGGAACCAAACAGGCCCUUAGGCACCUCUUUGAUCACCCUAGGUUACUUAGGCACCUUUCUAAUCACCUUAAGUCACUUAGGCACUUUUUCAAUCACCCUAGGUCACUUAGCCCAUUUAGGCAUAGUUUGGCCCAUAUAAGGAUAACUUAACCUAUUUAGGCACAUUUGCCCCACCUAAGAACACUUUAACUUAUUUAGGCACACCUAGCCCACCUAAAAUCAUGCUAACCCAUUAAGGCAAUCACAAACCUUUUUUGCACCGCUAAAAAUUAGAAAUUAAAAGUUAUCUCAAACCUUUUAUAGUAUUUAGGUACAACAAAUUUGUGGGUAAAUCAUUUUUGAGAAAACAUAGCAUAGAUUAUUCUUUUUCUCUUCGUAAUUACCCAACCAAUUGUUAAGCUAAACUUAAAAGGUAGUUUAUGGGUGCGUAAACAAUUAACUUUUGGCACUUAGAUAGUAAUUUGGGACAUAAUAUUAUGCAAUCUUGCAUUUCUUUUCCUUUUUUUCCUUUUUUCUUUUUUUGCAUGUUUAGAAUGAAAUCAAUGUAAUUAUAGUAUUAUUAGGGCGGUUUGGAGAAAUAGUUCUCAUAAAAGUUGUUAAAGAUUAUUUGUGAGAGUACUGUUGUAAUUUGAAUAUUAAGGCUGUUAUAAAGGUGUGGUAUCUAAUGAUUGUUACUUUAGUUUAUUAUUUUUCUAAUUAAAAAAAUGAAAAAGAAAAAGAAAACACAUUCUUGUUUUCUAUUUCUUGUUAUUUAGUAUGGCAUUACAACAAGUUCCAAACCCUAGCUCUUAGUUGCAAACUAAUUUUAAUUGAACACUGCUUUUUGCCCAUUGUGUUGGUAAAAUAAGUUGCUUCAACCUAUCAUUUGUUCAAAUGGCUUGAUGGUUAUCUCAUUGCCUAAAGUUGAACUCGAGACAAUAUCAAUAUUUAAAUUACUACUAUAAAGUUGAAUGAAUUUAGUUAUCUAUUAUAGUCUAAAGCCAUGAAGGAUAUCUUAGGACAAAGGUAGGUUACAAUAAUUUUUAGUUUAUAAUCUUUCUCCUAAUGAUUCAAAGGGCAAUGAACAAUGACAUAGAGAUAACUCAAUAAGCAUGAAUUUUUUAUGGAAUACCAUGGAGCCUAAUAUCACUACUACUGUUAUGUUCUUUAACGCUACCAAACAAAUUUGAGAAGCAUGGUUGAAAAAAGAUACCCUUAAGAUAUAUUGAGGCUUUAUGAGUUUUAUUCAAGUUUUUUUUUCUUACAUAGAAUGAGAUUUCUUUUUGUGAAUAUUAUGGCUAACUACAAGGUAUGUGGAAGAAGCUCAAUGUGUAUAAUCGUAUCACUAAUGAUAUUAAUCUAUUAUAAAAGCAAUAAGAAGAAUUCAAAGUGGCAAAUUUUCUCUCAAAUCCAAGUCCAUGUUAUGUUAGUGCUAAGAAAAAUAUCUUCUCUACUAAACCAUUACUUAUUAUGAGUAAUGUCCACUUUUUCCUUCAAUAUAUUAGUCUAGGUUCUUCUAUGGAGUCAUUUUCUAUGACAAACAUUGAAGUUGCAACUAUUAUUACUUCAAUUGUUGUGAGAGAGGUGGAUCUACUAAUUGAGGUGGAGAUUGAGAGGGGUGGAGAAGGAUAUAUAUAGUUGUUGUGACAACGGAAGCUUUCAUGCAAACAAGGUUAAUUCAAUAACACAAAGAUAAAACAAUCACACAUAUGGUACACAAGGUUUUAACGUGAUUCGACCAACCAUGCCUACAUCCACGGAUGAAAAAGAAUCAUUCUACUAUACAAUAGAAAAUAUUAUAAAGGAUAGAACUAGAUACAACUAUUGGGUUCCCAAAACAUCUCAUGUUUCUCCACUCCUUGUAUCCAUACUCUACUAUAAGCCUCCUUACUCCACCAAGUAUCUCUUGUUCUUCCUCACAUCUUUAUUCACCUCGUAUCGUAUUUACAAGCCCAUCCCCAUCUUAUAAAUUUUUCCCUUCAUGGCCUAGAAUAUUUAUAGAGAUAUUUCCAACAACUUUCUUUAUUCUGUAAGGAAAUCUAAUAUUACAAUAAUAUAUUAACUUAGUAAAUAUUCUAUACAAUAUUUUUUACAAAAAAAAAAAAAAAAACCUUUACUAAUUGGGAAUUUGAGACAAUUCUCAACAAUCUCCACCUUGGACCAAAUUUCAUGAAGUCAAUCUUCAAUCUUUCCAUGACACAAGUUUUUUGUAUCAUGUCACCACGAGAGAGCAAUCAACUUCACCUUCAACUAGAAUUCCAUUUAUCUUUGUCUUGUGUGCUCUAUAAUCUUUUACUCUUCUAGAAAUCUUCAAUCCACACUCUGAUACUAGUUUGUUGUGCAAAUCACGACAAAAAUAAUAAUAAUAGAGAUAAAAGAAUAAGAAAAACGAAAAAAAUAAAACACAAUGAUUUAUGUGGUUAGACCUUAAGCUUACAUUCACGGGUGAAAAAAAAAAACUUUCAUUAUUGUUAAAGGAGAUUACGACUCUCCAAACUCUCAAAUCUCAAAGCCCCAAUUUAUACCCAAAAAAAAACUAACUAUUUUGGUCAAAAAUCUAUUCUUAUAAUUUUUUUUUCUUAAUUACAAAGGAAGUUUCUAUAUAGGAAACAAAGUGUAUAAUUGUCAAAGAUAUCUUUUCCUAAAUAGAAGAUCUCAUAAUAAGAUAUUUCCUACAAUAAUAGGAAACCCACUUUCAAGAAUAUCUUCUAUUAGGAAACUAUCAAUAACUUUCCAAAUUGACUCAAAAUACAAUUUGAGACACUUUCCAACAAUCUCCACAUUAGCUCAAAUUCCCAAGAUUCAAACAAACUCGAAAGUCUUCAAGUUACUUCACUCUCACACCCCAUAGGGAGCCUUCAUAUCCCACUAACACCAAUUAAGUCUAAGCAAUGCUUGAACUUAAUCAUAGGAACGGACUUAGUCAUCAUUUCUGCGAGAUUGUCCAUCGUAGGGAUUUUUUUUCCAGUACAAUAGCACCCUAUGCGAUCACAUCCCUAAUAAAAUGCAUUUUGACAUCAGUAUGUUUGGUUUUCUCAUGAAAAAAUCUGAUUUUUAGUCAAAUGUGUGGCACUUUGGCUAUACCAAACCCUUAAGCCAAAUAGCUUCUUUCACUACUUAAAUUGCCAACCAAACCCUUAAGCCAAAUAGUUUCUUUCACUGCUUUUGUGGCUGCCAUGUAUUUUGUGGUUGACAAAACAACUGUAGAUUACAAAGUUGUUUUUCAACUAAUAACACUACCACAUAAAGUAAAUACAUACCCUAUUAGAGAUUUUUUUCUGUCCAAAUCUCUAGGAUAAUCAGAAUCAAUAUAAUUAACAAUUUCCCCAUAAAUGUCAAUAUUUUUAUCAUAUACUAGGCCAACAUGUGAUGUUCCUCUCAAGUAUCAAAGUAUCCAUUUCGCUACUUGCCAAUGGAUCUUUCUAAGAUGAUCCAUAUAUUUACUCACCACACUAACUGGAUGUGAAAUGUCUAACCUAGUGCAGACCAUAGCAUACAAAAUGAUCCCAACCGCACUAGCAUAAGGAACAUGUGACAUGUACUCUCUCUCUUUUUCAGACUAUGGUGAUAAAACACUAGAGAGUUUGAAGUAAGCCGCUAAUAGAGUACUCACUAGUUUUGAUUCUUGCAUUCCAAAGCGUUCUAACACUUUCUCAAUGUACUUUUUUGUGAUAAGUACAAUUUCCUUGCUUUUCAGUCUCUAUGAAUCUUCGUACCCAAUAUUUUCUUCACAGCUCCAAGGUCUUUCAUUUCAAACUCUCCUUGAAGUUGAGUUUUCAACAUGUUGAUCUCAGACAUAUUCUUGUAGGCAAUUAACAUGUCAUCAACAUACAAUAAUAAAUAAAUGAAAGAACCAUCAAACACUUCCUUAUGAUAAACACAAUUAUCAUACUCACUCUUAUGGUAGCCAUUACUAAUCAUAAAAGUAUCAAACCUUUUAUACCAUUGUCUAGGAGAUUGCUUUAAACCAUAAAGAGAUUUCUUUAAUAAACAAACAUGGUCUUCAUUUCCCGAAAUAAUGAAUCCCUCAGGUUGAUGCAUAUAAAUUUGUUCCGCAGUCUUGACAUCAAGUUUCUCUAACUUUAAAUUAAGUAAAACAACCGUAGCAAGUAACACCCUGAUUGAUCUAUGUUCCACAAUUGGAGAAAACACUUCAUUGAAGUUCAUACCUUCUUUUUGUGUGUAGCCUUUUGCUUCCAAGCGUGCUUUGAACCUAGCAUUUUCCACUCCUAGAAUUCCUUCAUUUCUUUUGAAGAGUCAUUUCCAUCAAACAAUCUUUUGAUUUUUUGGUUUCUCAACGAGUUUCCAAUUGUGGAUCUUUUGAAGAGAUUCAAUUUCCUCAUUCAUAGCAACAAUCCACUGUGUAGAUUCUCUACUAAUGAUGGCUUCAUGAUAAGUUUGAGGUUUAUCAUUUUCAAUGUUCUCUAUCACAAUAAGUGCAUAAGCAACCAAAUCUGCAUAAGCAUACCUUUGUGGCAAUUUAAUCUGCCUCUUUGUUCUAUCUCUAGCCAAACAAUAUUGUUGUUCUUGUGGUGCAUUUUCUUUAUUAUCAAGAGGUUGCACUUCUUCCUUUUUUGGCAUUAUUGAAAUUGCUUUUUCUAUGGUUUCUGAAGCUUUAGUCACAAACUCCACAUUUUCUCUUACACCAAUGUCAUUUUCUGUAUGAAGUUGCUUCUUCUUAGGACUCAACAUUAUAGACUUAUUAAAAGUCACAUCCCUACUGAUAAGAAAUUUGGAGAAUUUUGAAUCUAUGCGCCAUAACCUGUACCAUUUCACUCCAUUAGCAUAUCCUAAGAAUAUGCACUUCUUUGCCCUUGGUUCCAACUUACCUUCAUUCACAUGAGCAUAAUCAAGACAACAAAAAAUUCUUGAAUUAGCAUAAUUAAAAGAGAAACUAGA